rnacentral:rRNA from 1 species
GAUGAACGCUGGCGGCGUGCCUAAUACAUGCAAGUCGAGCGAACAGAUGAGGAGCUUGCUCCUCUGACGUUAGCGGCGGACGGGUGAGUAACACGUGGAUAACCUACCUAUAAGACUGGGAUAACUUCGGGAAACCGGAGCUAAUACCGGAUAAUAUAUUGAACCGCAUGGUUCAAUAGUGAAAGACGGUUUUGCUGUCACUUAUAGAUGGAUCCGCGCCGCAUUAGCUAGUUGGUAAGGUAACGGCUUACCAAGGCAACGAUGCGUAGCCGACCUGAGAGGUUGAUCGGCCACACUGGAACUGAGACACGGUCCAGACUCCUACGGGAGGCAGCAGUAUGGAAUCUUCCGCAAAGGGCGAAAGCCUGACGGAGCAACGCCGCGUGAGUGAUGAAGGUCUUCGGAUCGUAAAACUCUGUUAUUAGGGAAGAACAAAUGUGUAAGUAACUAUGCACGUCUUGACGGUACCUAAUCAGAAAGCCACGGCUAACUACGUG